AGACAUCGAAAAACUCAAAAUCGAGUUGGAAAAGGGAGGCGAUGUGUGGAGGAGCAAAUCGGAUUGGAUUGCCUCCGGGGAGUCGUCGAUCAAAACGUGCUGAAUGAACGAAACAGCGAAAAAAGAGAGAAAAGUGAGUA
ensembl:ncRNA R05G9.4 ncRNA